rnacentral:lncRNA from 10 species
AUCCCGUCUUUACUAAAAUUGCAAAAAUUAGCCAUGCGUGGUGGUGUACGCCUGUAAUCCCAGCUAUUUAGGAGGCUGAGACAUGAGAAUUGCUUGAACCCGGGAGUUUGAGGUUGCAGUGAGCUGAGAUCGCCCCACUGCACUCCAGCCUGGGUGAAAAAAUAAGACUGUCUCAAAGAAAAAAAAUUUUUUUUUUUGUAGAGACGGGGUUUCCCCACGUUGCCCAGGCUAUAACUGUACUUUAAAAGACACAAUACUCUAGAGAUGUCAUUACAGUUAGUAGAUUAUUAUCUUAAUUGACCCUAAAUUCGCUAUUUUGGAGCUAAGCAACCAAUUACGGCCUGGUGGUAUAUUCACCUGCUCCUUAGAUGGAGGUUCUGUGAAGGCAGCAGCUCUGUCCAUGUUGUUUACUGUAGGGCUGAACACUGACCUUGAGACAUAGUUGGCACUCAAAAUUAUAUGUUGAAUGACAGAAUUUUGAUUAGGUGGAUCUAACGCAUUUGAAAUAAUUCAUAGGGCUGGGCACGGUGGCUCAAGCCUGCAAUCCCAGCACUUUGGGAGGUGGAGGCAGGCAGAUCGCCUGAGGUCAGGUGUGCAAGACCAGCUUGGCCCCAGCCUCCCUAGUAGCUGGGAUUACAGGCAUGCACCACCAC